UACAGAGGGGGCAAGCGUUGUUCGGAAUUACUGGGCGUAAAGGGCGCGUAGGCGGCCUGCUAAGUCGAACGUGAAAUCCCUGGGCUCAACCCAGGAACUGCGUCCGAUACUGGUUGGCUUGAAUCCGGGAGAGGGAUGUGGAAUUCCAGGUGUAGCGGUGAAAUGCGUAGAUAUCUGGAGGAACACCGGUGGCGAAGGCGGCAUUCUGGACUGCAACUGACACCGAAGAACGAAAGCCAGGGGAGCAAACAGG
rnacentral:rRNA from 1 species